GGAGUAGUUGUGAAGGUCCAGCGGCUCAUCAAGCUUAUCCUUGACCAUUGUCGAUAAGGGAUAGAAAUAACAAUCGGACGAUACCUGUGGGUGCUACUCGGGGCUCAUAACCUAUUGGAGAAUAGGCAACGGUGACGGCUGACGCUGAUUGUUAUUCCGGAAGGAUUGCCGGCGGCGAAGAUAUUGAACACGAUAAACUGUUACAAGUAAUGUAAAGAGUAUUAUUAGUCUUCAGCAGGACUUGAGGAGAUUCCUUUGAGGAAUACCGAUCGUUGUGAGAUAAACAAAUAAGCGCAGUCACCGCCCUAAAUACCGGCGCUAGCGGAAAACUCGUACAUUCCGCGAUCUAACUGCACGUACAUUCCGUGAUCUCACUGCGCCGUCCUGGCGGUGCCCAAAUGUCUAUCACUUAGCUACCGGAUAUGCAUCGAUAGUCCCAUAAAGUUCUGGGGUAUGUCUCCCCCAAAGUUAGUCACAGACCCGAGGUCAAAUCUCCUGGUCGACAACCACACGAAUUGGGAGAG
rnacentral:lncRNA from 1 species